rnacentral:rRNA from 1 species
CUAACGUUGAAAAGUUAGGGGAUGAGCUGUGGAUAGGGGUGAAAGGCUAAACAAACUUGGAAAUAGCUGGUUCUCUCCGAAAACUAUUUAGGUAGUGCCUCAAGUAUUACCAUCGGGGGUAGAGCACUGUUAUGGCUAGGGGGUCAUGGCGACUUACCAAACCAUUGCAAACUCCGAAUACUGGCAAGUAUGAGCGUGGGAGACAGUCACCGGGUGCUAACGUCCGGUGUCGAGAGGGAAACAACCCAGACCACCAGCUAAGGUCCCCAAGCACAGUUAAGUGGGAAACGAAGUGGGAAGGCUAAAACAGUCAGGAGGUUGGCUUAGAAGCAGCCAUCCUUUAAAGAAAGCGUAAUAGCUCACUGAUCGAGUCGUCCUGCGCGGAAGAUGUAACGGGGCUAAGCCAGUCACCGAAGCUGCGGACGCACGCAAGUGCGUGGUAGGAGAGCGUUCUGUAAGCCUGUGAAGGUGUCUUGUAAAGGAUGCUGGAGGUAUCAGAAGUGCGAAUGCUGACAUGAGUAGCGAUAAAGGGGGUGAAAGGCCCCCUCGCCGUAAGCCCAAGGUUUCCUACGCAACGUUCAUCGGCGUAGGGUGAGUCGGCCCCUAAGGCGAGGCAGAGAUGCGUAGCUGAUGGGAAGCAGGUUAAUAUUCCUGCACCGUCGUAUGAUGCGAUGGGGGGACGGAUCGCGGAAGGUUGUCCGGGUGUUGGAAGUCCCGGUCCCUGCAUUGGAGAAGGCGCUUAGGCAAAUCCGGGCGCGGAAUUCAAGGAUGUGGGGCGAGCGGCCUAGUGCUGCGAAGCAAUUGGAAGUGGUUCCAAGAAAAGCCUCUAAGCUUCAGUCAUACGAGACCGUACCGCAAACCGACACAGGUGGGCGAGAUGAGUAUUCUAAGGCGCUUGAGAGAACUCGGGAGAAGGAACUCGGCAAAUUGGUACCGUAACUUCGGGAUAAGGUACGCCCUUGUAGCUUGACUGGCCUGCGCCAGGAGGGUGAAGGGGUUGCAAUAAAAUGGUGGCUGCGACUGUUUAAUAAAAACACAGCACUCUGCAAACACGAAAGUGGACGUAUAGGGUGUGACGCCUGCCCGGUGCCGGAAGGUUAAGUGAUGGGGUGCAAGCUCUUGAUCGAAGCCCCGGUAAACGGCGGCCGUAACUAUAACGGUCCUAAGGUAGCGAAAUUCCUUGUCGGGUAAGUUCCGACCUGCACGAAUGGCGUAACGAUGGCCACACUGUCUCCUCCCGAGACUCAGCGAAGUUGAAGUGUUUGUGAUGAUGCAAUCUCCCCGCGGCUAGACGGAAAGACCCCAUGAACCUUUACUGUAGCUU